rnacentral:rRNA from 1 species
CCUACGGGCGGCUGCAGUGGGGAAUAUUGGGCAAUGGGCGCAAGCCUGACCCAGCAACGCCGCGUGAAGGAAGAAGGCUUUCGGGUUGUAAACUUCUUUUCUCAGGGACGAAGAAAGUGACGGUACCUGAGGAAUAAGCCACGGCUAACUACGUGCCAGCAGCCGCGGUAAUACGUAGGUGGCAAGCGUUAUCCGGAUUUACUGGGUGUAAAGUGCGUGGAGGCGGGGAAGGAAGUCAGAUGGGAAAACCACGGGCUCAACCUGUGGCCUGCAUUUGAAACUGUUAUUCUUGAGUACUGGAGAGGCAGACGGAAUUACUAGUGUAGCGGGGAAAUGCGUAGAUAUUAGGAGGAACACCAGUGGCGAAGGCGGUCUGCUGGACAGCAACUGACGCUGAGGCGCGAAAGCGUGGGGAGCAAACAGGAUUAGAUACCCUUGUAGUC